rnacentral:rRNA from 1 species
GAUGAACGCUAGCGAUAGGCCUAACACAUGCAAGUCGAGGGGCAUCACAUGAAGUAGCAAUACGGAUGGUGGCGACCGGCGCACGGGUGAGUAACACGUAUGCAACCUGCCUUCAACAAGGGGAUAACCCGUUGAAAGACGGACUAAUACCCUAUAACACAGGGGUCCCGCAUGGGAAUAUUUGUUAAAGGACAACCGGUUGAAGAUGGGCAUGCGUUCCAUUAGCUAGUUGGCGGGGUAACGGCCCACCAAGGCAACGAUGGAUAGGGGAACUGAGAGGUUUAUCCCCCACACUGGUACUGAGACACGGACCAGACUCCUACGGGAGGCAGCAGUGAGGAAUAUUGGUCAAUGGACGCAAGUCUGAACCAGCCACGUCGCGUGAAGGAAGACGGCCCUACGGGUUGUAAACUUCUUUUAUACGGGGAAUAAAGUGCCCCACGCGUGGGGUUUUGCAUGUACCGUAUGAAUAAGGAUCGGCUAACUCCGUGCCAGCAGCCGCGGUAAUUACG